CAGGAAGUAGUUUAAGUAGAAUAUCAGCUUUGGGUGUUGAUGGUGAGGUGGUUAGCCUUCUUCUUGA
rnacentral:tRNA from 1 species